GGUGGCAUUUGUCCCGGGACCAGGUCCACAGUUUUAUAUGUGAGCAAGAUGGAGGCUGACCCAUCUGGCUUUAACAUCGAUGCCCCCCGUUGGGACCAGCGCACCUUCCUGGGGAGAGUGAAGCACUUCCUAAACAUCACGGACCCCCGCACUGUCUUUGUAUCUGAGCGAGAGCUGGACUGGGCCAAGGUGAUGGUGGAGAAGAGCAGGAUGGGGGUUGUGCCCCCAGGCACCCAAGUGGAGCAGCUGCUGUAUGCCAAGAAGCUAUAUGACUCGGCCUUCCACCCCGACACUGGGGAGAAGAUGAAUGUCAUCGGGCGCAUGUCUUUCCAGCUCCCUGGCGGCAUGAUCCUCACGGGCUUCAUGCUCCAGUUCUACAGGACUAUGCCGGCGGUGAUCUUCUGGCAGUGGGUGAACCAGUCCUUUAAUGCCUUAGUCAACUACACCAACAGGAAUGCGGCUUCCCCCACAUCAGUCAGGCAGAUGGCCCUUUCCUACUUCACAGCCACAACCACGGCUGUGGCCACAGCUGUGGGCAUGAACAUGUUGACAAAGGUAUGGUCUGGGGCCGCUGCAGCAUGGUGGCCACGCGGGGGCAGCAGAGUCCUAGGGAAAACAUCCUUCCCCCAGGGACAGUUCCCCAGGCUGGGUGAGUUGGGAAUGGCCA
rnacentral:sRNA from 1 species